UGUUGCGUUGACUCAAACUCAGAGGAAUGCAUUAGGCAAACUUCGAACUCCACCGACUCCACUUUCUACAUCACGACUGCGCAUCUUCCAUCCGACACCACUGAGCUCUUACGAAUGUAAGAUUGUCACCUGCCGAUGGAGGCGACGAACGGAAGAAGUUCGG